rnacentral:rRNA from 1 species
AAUGAACGCUGGCGGCGUGCUUAACACAUGCAAGUCGAACGAGAAAGGGAUUGCUUGCAAUCCCGAGUAGAGUGGCGCACGGGUGAGUAACACGUGGAUAAUCUACCUUUGAAUCCGGGAUAACUGUUCGAAAGAAUCGCUAAUACCGGAUGAUGUCAAUUUUUCUUUGGGAUGAUUGAUGAAAGACAGCCUCUUCUUGAAAGCUGUUGUUUAAAGAUGAGUCCGCGCACCAUUAGUUAGUUGGUGGGGUAAAGGCCUACCAAGACUUUGAUGGUUAGCUGGUCUGAGAGGAUGAUCAGCCACACUGGAACUGACACACGGUCCAGACUCCUACGGGAGGCAGCAGUGAGGAAUUUUGCGCAAUGGGGGCAACCCUGACGCAGCAACGCCGCGUGAGU